rnacentral:misc_RNA from 1 species
AAUUGAAAUAACGUGACUUACAGUUUGCAUAGGAAGUUCAUAUAUGAUUAAUCGGGGCCUUCUGCCCCUAAGCUUUCCAUAUCUAAUCUUGAAUUUAAUUUAUCUAACACCGUUGAGAUUGAGGAAAGACAGACAGACAACGGACGACAGUGGGAAUAAAAUAAACCAGACUUGUAGGUAGUCGGGACCGAGAACCGGGUCAAAAGAAAAUAAGAAAUGCUGAAACUGUUUCUACAAACAGGCGCGAGUGAGAGAUUUGCGCAUGCGUUGCUCGCACUCCCCGAGACAGUCUCGUCCCAAAAAUGGCUUCGCUGUUUUACUCGAAGUUAUUUCCAAACAAAAAAGAUAAAGAAGAAAUAUGGUGAUAUGAAUGGAGAACUUAUUGUUGUAGAACUUCAAAAGGGUCCUAAUGGACUUGGAUUAAGUUUGGCUGGAAAUAAAGAUAGGACAAAAAUGAGUGUUUUUGUAUGUGGAGUACAUCCUUCUGGAAAUGCAGCAAAAGAUGGAAGAAUUAAAAUUGGAGAUGAACUAUUAGAGGUAAAUGGUUUAGUAAUGUAUGGAAGAUGUCAUCUUAAUGCCUCUGCAAUGAUUAAAGGAUUGCCAGGUUCUAUCUAUAAAAUGAUUUUAAUAAGAAAAGAAGACAUUCUUGAUGAAAUGGCAGUGAAACCCAUUACACAAUUUCCUUUACAUUUACAAGAAGAGACUCAAGAAGAAAGGUUUGCAAAAUAUGGUUCAGUGAAAAAAGUGUCAACAAGAAAAGGUCCUCAAGGUUUAGGAAUUAUGAUCAUUGAAGGAAAGCAUGCUGAAGUUGGACAAGGUAUUUUUAUUUCUGAUAUUCAAGAAGGAAGUCCAGCUAAACAGGCUGGCUUAAAUGUUGGUGAUAUGAUUUUAGCUGUUAAUCAAACAGAAUUAAUUGGUGCAGAUUAUGAUACAGCUGCUGGUGUUUUGAAACAAAUAGAUGGAUCAAUUAACAUUGUUAUUGCUAAUCCAAACAAGUCAUUAGCAUCAGAUAAUAAAGAAGAAAAUAAAGGAGUUGAAGGAAGUGAAAAAUUAACGAAAAGAGUAUCUAAGAGAGAAAAGAGUGAGUUUGAAACAAUUGGAUGAUAUAUGAAUAUAAAUAAUAAGAUACAAUAUUUAGUUGUUAUAUAUCUGUUUAAUAUUCAGUUCAUAUUACUUUUGAAUAGUUUUGAAACAAUUUAAAUAAUUUAAAAAUUCACUUUCAUAUACAAUAACCAUUUUAUUUUGUAUGUUAUUGACACAUAUAUAUGUAUAUAUUGGUAAAAUAAUCACAUAUGAUCUGUAUUUAUUUUGCAUAUGUUCCUGGCCUGGCAUGGACUGAAUUUGCAUGAUAUGUACUCUGCCUAAUCAAAAUUGUAGGAGUA